GUACUGUAAAGGGGAACGAUGGAUGUGGCGGUUGAGAGCAUGUAAGUCAUUCUCCUCCUUAAAUUCCUCUGUAUAUAAACCCAGCGCCAUACCGAAUUUUGAGACGCUGAGUUGGCGGACUAACCCGCCUAGGCAAAAUUGGACCGUGCCGAGAUCAUCGUAGUUCGUCAUUACGGUCUGAAUAUGGAACAUUGAGCAUAGUUCCAUCGUGAUC
rnacentral:lncRNA from 1 species